rnacentral:rRNA from 1 species
GACGUAGGGCGCGAGCGUUGUCCGGAUUUAUUGGGCGUAAAGAGCUCGUAGGCGGCUUGUCGCGUCGGCUGUGAAAUCCCGUGGCUCAACUGCGGGUCUGCAGCCGAUACGGGCAGGCUAGAGUUCGGUAGGGGAGACUGGAAUUCCUGGUGUAGCGGUGAAAUGCGCAGAUAUCAGGAGGAACACCGGUGGCGAAGGCGGGUCUCUGGGCCGUAACUGACGCUGAGGAGCGAAAGCAUGGGGGAGCGAACAGG